GCCUGCUGGCGCUCGCCCGCCUGCAUCUCGCGCACGAGCGGUACCGCGCACUCGACGCUAAACUCAAGUCAAAUCCUCUAUCCUUAGAAGAAGUUAUCCUGAUGACGAUCUACUCAUGAUGGCGUGAAGAUGUCACCAUGUAUCCUGUCAGUACUGCCCUGGGCGAAAUUACGGCGCUCCUUUUUUCCCAACUUAGGAGGGCGUGGAAGAGUAACGCGAGAUAGUAAUUUAAAAACUAAUGCCCAGUUCACAUUUAGCCAGUGCAGUUAGGCAGCCGCGAAUGCCAGUAACAAUUUGUAUGGACCCCCUAGCGCCAGUUAGCGUUCACACUGUGCCUGUUGAUUGACAGUCCAUUUAUUGAGCGCUACUAGCCUACUGUACUGGCCAAGUGUGAACCGAGCAUUAUAAUGUCCCCCUGUAUCCAAUGCCCAGGCCAUCGCGCAGCCGCACAACAACACCGGCAUUGUUCCCAGUUGUUACUCCGACUGUUGUUUUUGUUAUAAAAUUGUUGCUUGUUAUUUAAUAACUUAUUAGAGUGUAUUUAAUAUAUAGAUUGUUGAUUAAGCAUGUUUAAACAAUAAAAUUGUAUGUAAGCAAUAUGGCAUUACUAAGAAGUCUUUAAAGAUCUUGGACCAAAUAUUUCGAUAAAAAAUACGCUCCUAACCAAAGAUUUCUUUAGUCCAGUUAUCAUUGUUAAAUUUUCUAAUUAAACUAAUAAAAUUGAACGUUAUCUAAAAAAAAUCUUUCUCAGUGUUAAGUACAAAUGAUGGCAAAACUCGUUCUUUUCUAUAAGAUUUAACAAUGCAUCAUUCAAAUGGACUCAUCUUAAUACGUCUGUAUGUAGAUUGUGAUAAUAUUGAUAUUUUAUUACAAAAUGAUUUUAGAUAUUU